UACGGAGGGUGCAAGCGUUAUCCGGAUUUAUUGGGUUUAAAGGGUGCGUAGGCGGAUAGGUAAGUCAGUGGUGAAAGCCUACAGCUCAACUGUAGAACUGCCAUUGAUACUGUCUAUCUUGAGUGUAAAUGAAGUGGGCGGAAUGUAGCAUGUAGCGGUGAAAUGCAUAGAUAUGCUACAGAACACCAAUUGCGAAGGCAGCUCACUAACAUACAACUGACGCUCAUGCACGAAAGCGUGGGGAUCAAACAGG
rnacentral:rRNA from 1 species